UACGAAGGGGGCUAGCGUUGCUCGGAAUCACUGGGCGUAAAGGGUGCGUAGGCGGGUCUUUUAAGUCAGGGGUGAAAUCCUGGAGCUCAACUCCAGAACUGCCUUUGAUACUGAAGAUCUUGAGUUCGGGAGAGGUGAGUGGAACUGCGAGUGUAGAGGUGAAAUUCGUAGAUAUUCGCAAGAACACCAGUGGCGAAGGCGGCUCACUGGCCCGAUACUAACGCUGAAGCACGAAAGCGUGGGGAGCAAACAGG
rnacentral:rRNA from 1 species